rnacentral:rRNA from 1 species
GACGGAGGGUGCAAGCGUUGUUCGGAUUGACUGGGCGUAAAGGGCGUGUAGGCGGUUGGUUAAGUCGGUUGUGAAAUCCCGGGGCUCAGCUCCGGAAGUGCAUCCGAAACUGGCCAGCUAGAGCGCGGUAGAGGAGGGUGGAAUUCCUGGUGUAGCGGUGAAAUGCGUAGAUAUCAGGAGGAACACCGGUGGCGAAGGCGGCCCUCUGGACCGUUGCUGACGCUGAGACGCGAAAGCGUGGGGAGCAAACAGG